rnacentral:lncRNA from 1 species
AUCCGGGUAUUUUGAGGAUUUGUUUACUUCAGGGUUUUUUGUUUGUUUGUUUGUGGGGUCCUUGGCUGCUUUUGGAUCUUGAGUUUUUUUUUGAGACAGGAGCUAGCUGUGUACCCCUGUCACGCCUCGAACUCGCGGCAAUCCCCAUGUCUCUGCUUCUCAGCUAGGGGGUCUGCGCCACCACGCCCAACUUUGUUUUUCUUUGUUUGGUUUGGUUUGGUUUAGUUUGGCUUCCUUUCCUGCUUUCGAUUUUGAAAUUCGGGAAAAGGAGAGGGUAGCAAAGAAUUUAGCCGGCUCAAAAGCUGGAUCAAGGACACAGAGGACAAGUCGGUUCCCGUGCCUCGGUCGUCCCCGGGUCAUGUGUCGUCCCCUCCCUCCCCCAGCCGCUGCCCAGCUUCCCUUCUUGGCUCCUCCUAUGGUGGAGAUUGGGAGGGGUAUCCCUGGACCCCGAAGAUAUAGUUUUAAUUUAGAAAGGCUGCUUUAACGGCCUUGUUUGAGCUAAUUAAGGUAAUUUGAGGUCGAGACAGGAAUUCCAACGACCACAGUUGACCUUUGAGGAGCAACAGUGAUCCUUGAUUGUGUGUGUGUGUGUGUGUGUGUGUGUGUGUGUGUGUGUGAGAGAGAGAGAGAGAGAGUAAUUUGUGUGUACAGGAUGCCACCGAAGACAGAGCCAUUGUGGGCCACCAAGUAUGGGGGUGUUGGGAACCCAGACUUUGUGCUAGGCAAUGCAGCAAGUGCUCUUAAUAGUAAGCCAUUUCCUGAGCCCGAUAGGUCUGUUCUAAGACAAGUGUGAUUAGGACAGGACAUUUAAUCUUAUUUCCAGGGCAAAUUCCAAACACUCAAUGUCAUGAGGCAUAUCUGACCUUGAAAACUGUGGGUAAGUGAACAGCACUGAACGAAAUAGCUAUUUCAAUAUUGGGAGAUGGUGUUCUUAGAAAUUAGGCAGGGUUUUACAGAAGCUCUGGAUUUUAGAGGGAGAUGACAGAAAUAAGGACUCUUUGUUCGUGCCUCCUUCCUCCUCCUUCCCCAAUAUACAGCGAAAGUGAAGAAAUAAAAACCUUACUGUGGCCACCAGGAUGGCUCAGCAAUAAAGAAUGCUUGUGGGACUGGUGAGAUAGCUCAGUGGUUGAGAGCGCCGACUGUUCUUCCAAAGGUCCCAAGUUCAAGUCCCAGCGACCACAUGGUGGCUCACAACCAUCCAUAAUGAAAUCUGAUGCCCUCUUCUGGAGUGUCUGAGGACAGCUACAAUGUACUUACAUAUAAUAAAUAAAUAAAUCUUUAAAAAAAGAAGAAAAAAAUGCUUGUG